GACGAACGCUGGCGGCGUGCUUAACACAUGCAAGUCGAGCGGUAAGGCCCUUUCGGGGGUACACGAGCGGCGAACGGGUGAGUAACACGUGGGUGACCUGCCCUCAGCUCUGGGAUAAGCCUGGGAAACCGGGUCUAAUACCGGAUAUGACUCCAUGACGCAUGUUGUGGGGUGGAAAGCCUUGUGCGGCUGAGGAUGGGCCCGCGGCCUAUCAGCUUGUUGGUGGGGUGAUGGCCUACCAAGGCGACGACGGGUAGCCGGCCUGAGAGGGCGACCGGCCACACUGGGACUGAGACACGGCCCAGACUCCUACGGGAGGCAGCAGUGGGGAAUCUUGCGCAAUGGGCGAAAGCCUGACGCAGCGACGCCGCGUGAGGGAUGACGGCCUGC
rnacentral:rRNA from 1 species